UGGGGAAUUUUGGACAAUGGGCGAAAGCCUGAUCCAGCAAUGCCGCGUGUGUGAAGAAGGCCUUCGGGUUGUAAAGCACUUUUGUCCGGAAAGAAAUCCUUGGCUCUAAUACAGUCGGGGGAUGACGGUACCGGAAGAAUAAGCACCGGCUAACUACGUGCCAGCAGCCGCGGUAAUACGUAGGGUGCAAGCGUUAAUCGGAAUUACUGGGCGUAAAGCGUGCGCAGGCGGUUUGCUAAGACCGAUGUGAAAUCCCCGGGCUCAACCUGGGAACUGCAUUGGUGACUGGCAGGCUAGAGUAUGGCAGAGGGGGGUAGAAUUCCACGUGUAGCAGUGAAAUGCGUAGAGAUGUGGAGGAAUACCGAUGGCGAAGGCAGCCCCCUGGGCCAAUACUGACGCUCAUGCACGAAAGCGUGGGGAGCAAACAGGAUUAGAUACCCUGGUAGUCCACGCCCUAAACGAUGUCAACUAGUUGUUGGGGAUUCAUUUCCUUAGUAACGUAACUAACGCGUGAAGUUGACCGCCUGGGGAGUACGGUCGCAAGAUUAAAACUCAAAUGAAUUGACGGGGUCAUAGCUGUUUCCU
rnacentral:rRNA from 1 species